UACGUAGGGUGCAAGCGUUGUCCGGAAUUAUUGGGCGUAAAGAGCUCGUAGGCGGUCUGUUGCGUCGGCUGUGAAAACCCGGGGCUCAACCCCGGGCCUGCAGCCGAUACGAGCAGACUAGAGUUCGGCAGGGGAGACUGGAAUUCCUGGUGUAGCGGUGAAAUGCGCAGAUAUCGGGAGGAACACCAAUGGCGAAGGCAGCUCGCUGGGACGGUACUGACGCUGAGACGCGAAAGCGUGGGGAGCAAACAGG
rnacentral:rRNA from 1 species